UACGUAGGUGGCAAGCGUUGUCCGGAUUUAUUGGGUUUAAAGGGUGCGUAGGCGGUUCUUUAAGUCAGUGCUGAAAUACUCCAGCUUAACUGGAGGGGUGGCAUUGAUACUGGGGAACUUGAAUGAAGUCGAGGUAGGCGGAAUUGACGGUGUAGCGGUGAAAUGCUUAGAUAUCGUCAAGAACACCGAUAGUGAAGACAGCUUACUAGGCUUAUAUUGACGCUGAGGCACGAAAGUGUGGGGAUCAAACAGG
rnacentral:rRNA from 1 species